GCCUUUAGAACCUAACAAAUGAGUCCAUGUUGCUCUUGAAAAAUCAUCAACUAUUGUGAGAAAGUAUCUACAUCCAGAGAAAGUUGGAGUGUGAUAAGGUCCCCAGGUGUCACAUGAAUCAGUUGGAAUGGUUUAGAGGAUUUAAUGGAACUGUCAGGAAAGAAAGCCUAGUUUGUCUAGCCAUAGGGCAAACAGAACAAGGGAAAGGUUGUUUAGAAGCAAAAGGGAAUGAUAAACCAGAAAUACAUUUCAUGUGAGCAAAAGNNN
rnacentral:lncRNA from 1 species